UAAAAAAAUUUCAUUCUUUCAGUGUAAAAAGAAAAAAAACUGCAGAGAGGAAAAAACAUUCUCUCAAUCCUUCCCCUUUCCGGUCGAAUGGGCCACCGUCGGCCCCGCCGUGGGCGGUGGUCGGAAGCCCAAACGUCGGGCUUUUAAGCCCUGCUUCAAGGACCACUGAAGACCAAGUCUUCAUAGCCUCGGGGUCACGAGAGAAAAAUAAAUCGUCGCCCUCCUUGCCCGAUUUCGGUGACCCGGAGUAGGACUCCGGCGACGAUGCUCGCAGGGCGAUUCCGAUGGAGCAAGUGCACGGCGCCGGUGCAGAUGACACGUGCGGUGAUGGGACAAGGGCGGUGGCAACAGGUCCUAGCAUGCGGCGCACUAGGGUUAGGUUUUUUUUAUUUUUGCUGAAAUUGUUUUAAGUUUGGGCCAUGGUUGGUUUGGGUUUGGGCCGUUUGGGCCUGUAAUGUCAUUUGGGUAUUGGGCUAGUGUUUAGGUGGGUAGUUAGGCUUGAAUGGACUGUGGACCUUUGUUUAAUUUAGGCCCGGGUAAAAUUGGGCCUGUACAACCUUAUCACCCGAAUUCUCUUGGGUUCGACCUUUGGAAUACUUCGUGUUCCAUUGUAACAUGAAAAUAUUACAAUUGACCUAUCACACUUACAAAUAA